rnacentral:rRNA from 1 species
AUGGCAUAUACCCAGAAUGGGCUGCUCAUCAAGACAAUUCCACUCCCCCAAACAGAAAAGGACAAUCAGUUUACACAACUUCAAGAAGGAGCUAGGAAGGAUAUAGAACGUGCAUUCGGGGUCUUGCAAUCUCGCUUCUCCAUUGUGCGUCGUCCAGCACGAUUAUGUUCACAGGCAUCUAUUGGAAAUAUUAUGCAAGCAUGCAUCAUUCUUCACAAUAUGAUAGUUGAAGAUGAGAGGGAAAUGGUCACCACUCCUCUUGACUUGCAUGAGACUCCACGGUCAUCAGUUGUUUUACCUCCAGAAAUGAAAGUGGGUGGUAACACAUGCUUUGCUGAUGUUCUUCGGAGAAAUGCUGGAAUUCGUGAUCGCUCAACACAUAUGCAACUCAAGAGGGACUUGGUUGAGCACAUUUGGAAGAGAUUUGGCAAUUAG